UUCCGUAGGUGAACCUGCGGAAGGAUCAUUGUCGAACCUGCACAGCAGAACGACCAGAUAACCGAUUUCAACGUCGGGGGUCGGCAGGCCGUUGCUCUCGGUGUCCCCUUAUCCCGGAAGCCUACUUCAGGGCGUACAAACAAACACCGACGCGUGUUGCGCCAAGAAACUUAAACAAAAGAGCGUGCUCCCGUCACCCUGAAAAUGAUGCUCGUACGGGUGCGUCGUCGUCUUCAGUACAUCAAAAUGACUCUCGGUAACGGAUAUCUCAGCUCUCGCAUCGAUGAAGAAUGUAGCGAAAUGCGAUACUGGGUGUGAAUUGCAGAAUCCCAUGAACCAUCGAGUCUUUGAACGUAAGUUACGCCCGAAGUUGUUAGGCCGAUGGCACGUCUGGCUGGGCGUCACACGCCGUUGCCUCCCCCGCGCCUUCCUCAGAUGGGGCGGACGAUGGCCUCCCGUGCGUCACGCCUUGCGGUUGGGCCAAAUACCGAGUCCUCGACGACGAACGCCAUGACAAUCGAUGGUUGUCAAACCUUGUUUGCUUGUUAUGCGCUUUCGUCGGUUUCGAGCUACUCGCGAAGCUCGUCGCUCUCAUUCAGCGGAGCUUUCAACGCGACCCCAGGUCAGGCGAGAUUACCCGCUGAGUUUAACAUAUCAAUAAGCGGAGGAAA
rnacentral:rRNA from 1 species